UACGAAUGGGGCAAGCGUUGUUCGGAAUCACUGGGCUUAAAGCGUAUGCAGGCGGCUAAGCAAGUCAGAAGUGAAAUCCCUGGGCUCAACCCAGGAAUUGCUUUUGAAACUGCUUAGCUAGAAUCCCGGAGAGGUUAACGGAAUUCCGAGUGUAGAGGUGAAAUUCGCAGAUAUUCGGAGGAACACCAGUGGCGCAAGCGGUUAACUGGACGGGCAUUGACGCUCAGAUACGAAAGCGUGGGUAGCAAACAGG
rnacentral:rRNA from 1 species